GGUUACUUAGCUCAAUUGGUAGAGCGAUUCUUUCAUAGGGAAUUUGUUAUAAGUUCGAGUCUUAUAGUAACCA
rnacentral:tRNA from 1 species